rnacentral:rRNA from 1 species
GAGUGAACGCUGGCGGUAGGCCUAACACAUGCAAGUCGAACGGCAGCACAGUAAGAGCUUGCUCUUACGGGUGGCGAGUGGCGGACGGGUGAGGAAUACAUCGGAAUCUACUUUUUCGUGGGGGAUAACGUAGGGAAACUUACGCUAAUACCGCAUACGACCUACGGGUGAAAGCAGGGGAUCUUCGGACCUUGCGCGAUUGAAUGAGCCGAUGUCGGAUUAGCUAGUUGGCGGGGUAAAGGCCCACCAAGGCGACGAUCCGUAGCUGGUCUGAGAGGAUGAUCAGCCACACUGGAACUGAGACACGGUCCAGACUCCUACGGGAGGCAGCAGUGGGGAAUAUUGGACAAUGGGCGCAAGCCUGAUCCAGCCGUACCGCGUGGGUGAAGAAGGCCUUCGGGUUGUAAAGCCCUUUUGUUGGGAAAGAAAAGCAGCAGGUUAAUACCCCGCUGUUCUGACGGUACCCAAAGAAUAAGCACCGGCUAACUUCGUG